GAUGAAGAACGCAGCGAAAUGCGAUAAGUAAUGUGAAUUGCAGAAUUCAGUGAAUCAUCGAAUCUUUGAACGCACAUUGCGCCCGCCAGUAUUCUGGCGGGCAUGCCUGUCCGAGCGUCAUUUCAACCAUCAAGCCCCCGGGCUUGUGUUGGGGACCUGCGGCUGCCCGCAGGCCCUGAAAACCAGUGGCGGGCUCGCUGUCACACCGAGCGUAGUAGCAAUCACCUCGCUCAGGGCGUGCUGCGGGUUCCGGCCGUUAAACAGCCUUACAAAACCCAAGGUUGACCUCGGAUCAGGUAGGAAGACCCGCUGAACUUAAGCAUAUCAAAAGCGGAGGA
rnacentral:misc_RNA from 1 species